rnacentral:lncRNA from 1 species
AGAAGCUCUGGUUUGUGAGAAGCAUAUACCCAAACCUGCCCCAAAUGGGACAAAAUUUGUACCACGGCAUGUUGAUGUCGCUCCAUGAUAGCAUGCCAAGUUUAAUGAAUUUCAGACGAGUUUUGGAUUUACUAGAAUUUGAAAACCAGGCAUCUCAAUGUUUUGCCGACAAUCAACGGUGCCCUGCUGUUCGAAAUUCAUUCCCAUUUCUUGCAUGGGACCUAAGCAUGCACCCGAGGACACGUAUUUGAUUUUUCAACCAGUUUAUAUGCACUGGAGCAUGUGCAUGUAGUUCAAAUUUUAAUUAUGCACAUAAAUCCAUUGAAAACUCAAUCAAUGCAUAAAAAUGUCCAAACUAAUUCCGAAAAAUCACAAAAAUUCACACAACACUCCUGUUGUUCUAUGUUGACAGGAGAAAAAAAAUUGAAAGCACUAAGAGGCAAUGGAUAUUGUUUCGUCCCUAAAUGUGGGACGUUCCCUACCGAAAACCAUCAUGCUUGUUGUGAGAAGCUCCGGUUUGUGAGAAGCAUAUACCCAAACCUGCCCCAAAUGGGACAAAAUUUGUACCACGGCAUGUAGAUACCGCUCCAUGAUAACAUGUCAAGUUUCAUGAAUUUCAGACGAGUUUUGGAUUUACUAGAAUUUGAAAACCUGGCAUCUCAAUGUUUUGCUGGCAAUCAAUGGUGCCCUGGUGUUCGAAAUUGAUUCCCAUUUCUUGUAUGAGACCUAAGCAUGCACCCGAAUACACAGAUUUGGUUUUUCAACCAAUUUAUAUGCACUGGAGCAUGUGCAUGUAGCUCAAAUUUGAAUCAUGCACUUGAAUGCAUUGAAAACUCAGUUAAUGCAUAAAAAUGUCCAAACUAACCCCGAAAAAUCACAAAAAGUCACACAACACUCCUGUUGUUCUAUGUUGACACGAGAAAAAAAAUUGAAAGCACUAAGAGGCAAUGGAUAUCGUUUCGUCCCUAAAGGUGGGACCUUCCCUACCGAAAACCAUCAUGCUUGUUGUGAGAAGCUCCGGUUUGUGAGAAGCAUAUACCCAAACCUGCCCCAAAUGGGACAAAAAUUUUACACCGGCAUCUAGAUACCGCUCCAUGAUAGCAUGUCAAGUUUCUUGAAUUUCAGAUGAGUUUUAGAUUUACUAGAAUUUAAAAACCAGGCAUCUCAAUGUUUUGCCGGCAAUCAAUGGUGCCCUGGUGUUCGAAAUUCAUUCCCAUUUCUUGCAUGAGACCUAAGCAUGCACCCGAAUACACAGAUUUGGUUUUCCAACCAAUUUAUAUGCACUGGAGCAUGUGCAUGUGGUUGAAAUUUGAAUUAUGCACAUAAAUGCAUUGAAAACUCAGGUAAUGCAUCAAAAUAUCCAAACGAACCCCGAAAAAUCACAAAAAUUCACAAAACACUCCUGUUGUUCUAUGUUGACACGAGAAAAAAAAUUGAAAGCAAUAAGAGGCAAUGGAUAUCGUUUCGUCCCUAAAGGUGGGACGUUCCCUACCGAAAACCAUCAUGCUUGUUGUGAGAAGCUCUGGUUCGUGAGAAGCAUAUACCCAAACCUGCCCCAAAUGGGACACAAUUUGUACCACGGCAUGUUGAUGUCGCUCCAUGAUAGCAUGCCAACUUUAAUGAAUUUCAGACGAGUUUUGGAUUUACUAGAAUUUGAAAAACAGGCAUCUCAAUGUUUUGCCGACAAUCAACGGUGCCCUGCUGUUCGAAAUUCAUUCCCAUUUCUUGCAUGGGACCUAAGCAUGCACCCGAGGACACGGAUUUGAUUUUUCAACCAGUUUAUAUGCACUGGAGCAUGUGCAUGUAGUUCAAAUUUGAAUUAUGCACAUAAAUGCAUUGAAAACUCACUUAAUGCAUAAAAAUGUCCAAACUAAUUCCGAAAAAUCACAAAAAUUCACACAACACUCCUGUUGUUCUAUGUUGACAGGAGAAAAAAAAUUGAAAGCACUAAGAGGCAAUGGAUAUUGUUUCGUCCCUAAAGGUGGGACGUUCCCUACCGAAAACCAUCAUGCUUGUUGUGAGAAGCUCCGGUUUGUGAGAAGCAUAUACCCAAACCUGCCCCAAAUGGGACAAAAUUUGUACCACGGCAUGUAAAUACCGCUCCAUGAUAGCAUGUCAAGUUUCAUGAAUUUCAGACGAGUUUUGGAUUUACUAGAAUUUGAAAACCUGGCAUCUCAAUGUUUUGCCGGCAAUCAAUGGUGCCCUGGUGUUCGAAAUUCAUUCCCAUUUCUUGCAUGAGACCUAAGCAUGCACCCGAAUACACAGAUUUGGUUUUUCAACCAAUUUAUAUGCACUGGAGCAUGUGCAUGUAGUUCAAAUUUGAAUCAUGCACUUGAAAAAUCAGUUAAUGCAUAAAAAUGUCCUAACUAACCCCGAAAAAUCACGAAAAUUCACACAGCACUCUUGUUGUUCUAUGUUGACACGAGAAAAUAAAUUGAAAGCACUAAGAGGCAAUGGAUAUCAUUUCGUCCCUAAAGGAGGGACGUUCCCUACCGAAAACCAUCAUGCUUGUUGUGAGAAGCUCCGGUUUGUGAGAAGCAUAUACCCAAACCUGCCCCAAAUGGGACAAAAUUUUUACAACGACAUGUAGAUACCGCUCCAUGAUAGCAUGUCAAGUUUCUCGAAUUUCAGACGAGUUUUGGAUUUACUAGAAUUUGAAAACCAAGCAUCUCAAUGUUUUGCCGACAAUCAAUGGUGCCCUGCUGUUCGAAAUUUAUUCCCAUUUCUUGCAUGGGACAUAAGCAUGCACCCGAGGAAACAUAUUUGAUUUUUCAACCAGUUUAUAUGCACUGGAGCAUGUGCAUGUAGUUCAAAUUUGAAUUAUGUACAUAAAUGCAUUGAAAACUCAGUUAAUGCAUCAAAAUAUCCAAACUAACCCCGAAAAAUCACAAAAAUUCACACAACACUCCUGUUGUUCUAUGCUGACACGAGAAAAAAAAUUGAAAGCACUAAGAGGCAAUGGAUAUCGUUUCGUCCCUAAAGGUGGGACGUUCCCUACCGAAAACCAUCAUGCUUGUUGUGAGAAGCUCCGGUUUUUGAGAAGCAUAUACCCAAACCUGCCCCAAAUGGGACAAAAUUUGUACCACGGCAUGUUGAUGCCGCUCCAUGAUAGCAUGUCAAGUUUCAUGAAUUUCACACUAGUUUUGGAUUUACUAGAAUUUAAAAAACAGGCAUGUCAAUGCUUUGCCAGCAAUCAACGAUGCCCUGGUGUUCGAAAUUCAUUCCCAUUUCUUUCAUGGGACUAAAGCAUGCACCCGACGACACAGAUUUGAUUUUUCAACCAGUUUAUAUGCACUGGAGCAUGUGCAUAUAGUUGAAAUUUGAAUUAUGCACAUAAAUGCAUUGAAAACUCAGUUAAUGCAUAAAAAUGUCCAAACGAACCCCAAAAAAUCACAAAAAUUCACACAACACUCCUAUUGUUCUAUGUUGACACGAGAAAAAAAAAAUUGAAAGCAAUAAGAGGCAAUGGAUAUCAUUUCAUCCCAAAAGGUGGGACCUUCCCUACCGAAAACCAUCAUGCUUGUUGUGAGAAGCUCCGGUUUGUGAGAAGCAUAUACCCAAACCUGCCCCAAAUGGGACAAAAUUUGUACCAUGGCAUGUAGAUGCCGCUCCAUGAUAGCAUGUCAAGUUUCAUGAAUUUCAGACGAGUUUUGGAUUUACUAGAAUUUGAAAACCUGGCAUCUCAAUGUUUUGCCGGCAAUCAAUGGUGCCCUGGUGUUCAAAAUUCAUUCCCAUUUCUUGCAUGAGACCUAAGCAUGCACCCGAAUACACAGAUUUGGUUUUCCAACCAAUUUAUAUGCACUGGAGCAUGUGCAUGUAGUUGAAAUUUGAAUUAUGCACAUAAAUGCAUUGAAAACUCAGGUAAUGCAUAAAAAUGUCCAAACGAACCCCGAAAAAUCACAAAAAUUCACACAACACUCCUAUUGUUCUAUGUUGACACGAGAAAAAAAAUUGAAAGCAAUAAGAGGCAAUGGAUAUUGUUUCGUCCCUAAAGGUGGGAUGUUCCCUACCAAAAACCAUCAUGCUUGUUGUGAGAAGCUCCGGUUUGUGAGAAGCAUAUACCCAAACCUGCCCCAAAUGGGACAAAAUUUGUACCACGGCAUGUAGAUACCGCUCCAUGAUAGCAUGUCAAGUUUCAUGAAUUUCAGACGAGUUUGGAUUUACUAGAAUUUGAAAACCUGGCAUCUCAAUGUUUUGCCGGCAAUCAAUGGUUCCCUGGUGUUCGAAAUUCAUUCCCAUUUCUUGCAUGGGACCUAAGCAUGCACCUGAGGAAACAUAUUUGAUUUUUCAACCAGUUUAUGUGCACUGGAGCAUGUGCAUGUAGUUCAAAUUUGAAUUAUGUACAUAAAUGCAUUGAAAACUCAGUCAAUGCAUAAAAAUUUCCAUACUAACCCCGAAAAAUCACAAAAAUUCACACAACACUCCUGUUGUUCUAUGUUGACAUGAGAACAAAAAUUGAAAGCACUAAGAGGCAAUGGAUAUCGUUUCGUCCCUAAAGUUGGGACGUUGCCUACCGAAAACCAUCAUGCUUGUUGUGAGAAGCUCCAGUUUAUGAGAAGCAUAUACCCAAACCUGCCCCAAGUGGGACAAAAUUUGAACCACGGCAUGUUGAUGCCGCUCCAUGAUAGCAUGUCAAGUUUCAUGAAUUUCAGACGAGUUUUGGAUAUACUAGAAUUUAAAACCAGGCAUGUCAAUGCUUUGCCUGCAAUCAACGAUGCCCUUGUGUUCGAAAUUCAUUCCCAUUUCUUGCAUGGGACCAAAGCAUGCACUAAGAGGCAAUGGAUAUUGUUUCGUCCCUAAAGGUGGGACGUUCCCUACCGAAAACCAUCGUGCUUGUUGUGAGAAGCUCUGGUUCGUGAGAAGCAUAUACCCAAACCUGCCCCAAAUGGGACACAAUUUGUACCACGGCAUGUUGAUGUCGCUCCAUGAUAGCAUGCCAACUUUAAUGAAUUUCAGACGAGUUUUGGAUUUACUAGAAUUUGAAAACCAGGCAUCUCAAUGUUUUGCCGACAAUCAACGGUGCCCUGCUGUUCGAAAUUCAUUCCCAUUUCUUGCAUGGGACCUAAGCAUGCACCCGAGGACACGGAUUUGAUUUUUCAACCAGUUUAUAUGCACCGGAGCAUGUGCAUUUAGUUCAAAUUUGAAUUAUGCACAUAAAUGCAUUGAAAACUCACUUAAUGCAUAAAAAUGUCCAAACUAAUUCCGAAAAAUGACAAAAAUUCACACAACACUCCUGUUGUUCUAUGUUGACAGGAGAAAAAAAAUUGAAAGCACUAAGAGGCAAUGGAUAUUGUUUCGUCGCUAAAGGUGGGACGUUCCCUACCGAAAACCAUCAUGCUUGUUGUGAGAAGCUCCGGUUUGUGAGAAGCAUAUGCCCAAACCUGCCCCAAAUGGGACAAAAUUUGUACCACGGCAUGUAGAUACCGCUCCAUGAUAGCAUGUCAAGUUUCAUGAAUUUCAGACGAGUUUUGGAUUUACUAGAAUUUGAAAACCUGGCAUCUCAAUGUUUUGCCGGCAAUCAAUGGUGCCCUGCUGUUCGAAAUUCAUUCCCAUUUCUUGCAUGAGACCUAAGCAUGCACCCGAAUACACAGAUUUGGUUUUUCAACAAAUUUAUAUGCACUGGAGCAUGUGCAUGUAGUUCAAAUUUGAAUCAUGCACUUGAAUGCAUUUAAAACUCAGUUAAUGCAUAAAAAUGUCCUAACUAACCCCGAAAAAUCACGAAAAUUCACACAACACUCUUGUUGUUCUAUGUUGACACGAGAAAAUAAAUUGAAAGCACUAAGAGGCAAUGGAUAUCAUUUCGUCCCUAAAGGAGGGACGUUCCCUACCGAAAACCAUCAUGCUUGUUGUGAGAAGCUCCGGUUUGUGAGAAGCAUAUACCCAAACCUGCCCCAAAUGGGACAAAAUUUUUACAACGACAUGUAGAUACCGCUCCAUGAUAGCAUGUCAAGUUUCUUGAAUUUCAGACGAGUUUUGGAUUUACUAGAAUUUGAAAACCAGGCAUCUCAAUGUUUUGCCGACAAUCAAUGGUGCCCUGCUGUUCGAAAUUUAUUCCCAUUUCUUGCAUGGGACAUAAGCAAGCACCCGAGGAAACAUAUUUGAUUUUUCAACCAGUUUAUAUGCACUGGAGCAUGUGCAUGUAGUUCAAAUUUGAAUUAUGUACAUAAAUGCAUUGAAAACUCAGUUAAUGCAUCAAAAUAUCCAAACUAACCCCGAAAAAUCACAAAAAUUCACACAACACUCCUGUUGUUCUAUGCUGACACGAGAAAAAAAAUUGAAAGCACUAAGAGGCAAUGGAUAUCGUUUCGUCCCUAAAGGUGGGACGUUCCCUACCGAAAACCAUCAUGCUUGUUGUGAGAAGCUCCGGUUUUUGAGAAGCAUAUACCCAAACCUGCCCCAAAUGGGACAAAAUUUGUACCACGGCAUGUUGAUGCCGCUCCAUGAUAGCAUGUCAAGUUUCAUGAAUUUCAGACUAGUUUUGGAUUUACUAGAAUUUAAAAAACAGGCAUGUCAAUGCUUUGCCAGCAAUCAACGAUGCCCUGGUGUUCGAAAUUCAUUCCCAUUUCUUGCAUGGGACUAAAGCAUGCACCCGACGACACAGAUUUGAUUUUUCAACCAGUUUAUAUGCACUGGAGCAUGUGCAUAUAGUUGAAAUUUGAAAUAUGCACAUAAAUGCAUUGAAAACUCAGUUAAUGCAUAAAAAUGUCCAAACGAACCCCAAAAAAUCACAAAAAUUCACACAACACUCCUAUUGUUCUAUGUUGACACGAGAAAAAAAAUUGAAAGCAAUAAGAGGCAAUGGAUAUCAUUUCAUCCCUAAAGGUGGGACCUUCCCUACCGAAAACCAUCAUGCUUGUUGUGAGAAGCUCCGGUUUGUGAGAAGCUUAUACCCAAACCUGCCCCAAAUGGGACAAAAUUUGUACCAUGGCAUGUAGAUGCCGCUCCAUGAUAGCAUGUCAAGUUCAUGAAUUUCAGAUGAGUUUUGGAUUUACUAGAAUUUGAAAACCUGGCAUCUCAAUGUUUUGCCGGCAAUCAAUGGUGCCCUGGUGUUCGAAAUUCAUUCCCAUUUCUUGCAUGAGACCUAAGCAUGCACCCGAAUACACAGAUUUUGUUUUCCAACCAAUUUAUAUGCACUGGAGCAUGUGCAUGUAGUUGAAAUUUGAAUUAUGCACAUAAAUGCAUUGAAAACUCAGGUAAUGCAUAAAAAUGUCCAAACGAACCCCGAGAAAUCACAAAAAUUGACACAACACUCCUAUUGUUCUAUGUUGACACGAGAAAAAAAAUUGAAAGCAAUAAGAGGCAAUGGAUAUUGUUUCGUCCCUAAAGGUGGGAUGUUCCCUACCAAAAACCAUCAUGCUUGUUGUGAGAAGCUCCGGUUUGUGAGAAGCAUAUACCCAAACCUGCCCCAAAUGGGACAAAAUUUGUACCACGGCAUGUUGAUGCCGCUCCAUGAUAGCAUGUCAAGUUUCAUGAAUUUCAGACGAGUUUGGAUUUACUAGAAUUUGAAAACCUGGCAUCUCAAUGUUUUGCCGGCAAUCAAUGGUGCCCUGGUGUUCAAAAUUCAUUCCCAUUUCUUGCAUGGGACCUAAGCAUGCACCUGAGGAAACAUAUUUGAUUUUUCAACCAGUUUAUAUGCACUGGAGCAUGUGCAUGUAGUUCAAAUUUGAAUUAUGUACAUAAAUGCAUUGAAAACUCAGUCAAUGCAUAAAAAUUUCCAAACUAACCCCGAAAAAUAACAAAAAUUCACACAACACUCCUGUUGUUCUAUGUUGACAUGAGAACAAAAAUUGAAAGCACUAAGAGGCAAUGGAUAUCGUUUCGUCCCUAAAGUUGGGACGUUCCCUACCGAAAACCAUCAUGCUUGUUGUGAGAAGCUCCAGUUUAUGAGAAGCAUAUACCCAAACCUGCCCCAAGUGGGACAAAAUUUGUACCACGGCAUGUUGAUGCCGCUCCAUGAUAGCAUGUCAAGUUUCAUGAAUUUCAGACGAGUUUUGGAUACACUAGAAUUUAAAACCAGGCAUGUCAAUGCUUUGCCGGCAAUCAACGAUGCCCUGGUGUUCGAAAUUCAUUCCCAUUUCUUGCAUGGGUCCAAAGCAUGCACCCGAGGACAGAUAUUUGAUUUUUCAACCAGUUUAUAUGCACUGGAGCAUGUGCAUAUAGUUCAAAUUUGAAUUAUGCAAAUAAAUGCAUUGAAAACUCAGUUAAUGCAUAAAAAUGUCCAAACGAACCCCGAAAAAUCACAAAAAUUCACACAACACUCCUAUUGUUCUAUGUUGACACGAGAAAAAAAAUUGAAAGCAAUAAGAGGCAAUGGAUAUUGUUUCGUCCCUAAAGGUGGGAUGUUCCCUACCAAAAACCAUCAUGCUUGUUGUGAGAAGCUACGGUUUGUGAGAAGCAUAUACCCAAACCUGCCCCAAAUGGGACAAAAUUUGUACCACGGCAUGUAGAUACCGCUCCAUGAUAGCAUGUCAAGUUUCAUGAAUUUCAGACGAGUUUGGAUUUACUAGAAUUUGAAAACCUGGCAUCUGAAUGUUUUGCCGGCAAUCAAUGGUGCCCUGGUGUUCGAAAUUCAUUCCCAUUUCUUGCAUGGGACCUAAGCAUGCACCUGAGGAAACAUAUUUGAUUUUUCAACCAGUUUAUAUGCACUGGAGCAUGUGCAUGUAGUUCAAAUUUGAAUUAUGUACAUAAAUGCAUUGAAAACUCAGUCAAUGCAUAAAAAUUUCCAAACUAACCCCGAAAAAUCACAAAAAUUCACACAACACUCCUGUUGUUCUAUGUUGACAUGAGAAAAAAAAUUGAAAGCACUAAGAGGCAAUGGAUAUCGUUUCGUCCCUAAAGUUGGGACGUUCCCUACCGAAAACCAUCAUGCUUGUUGUGAGAAGCUCCAGUUUAUGAGAAGCAUAUACCCAAACCUGCCCCAAGUGGGACAAAAUUUGUACCACGGCAUGUUGAUGCCGCUCCAUGAUAGCAUGUCAAGUUUCAUGAAUUUCAGACGAGUUUUGGAUAUACUAGAAUUUAAAACCAGGCAUGUCAAUGCUUUGCCGGCAAUCAACGAUGCCCUGGUGUUCGAAAUUCAUUCCCAUUUCUUGCAUGGGACCAAAGCAUGCACCCGAGGAUAGAUAUUUGAUUUUUCAACCAGUUUAUAUGCACUGGAGCAUGUGCAUAUAGUUCAAAUUUGAAUUAUGCAAAUAAAUGCAUUGAAAACUCAGUUAAUGCAUAAAAAUGUCCAAACGAACCCCGAAAAAUCACAAAAAUUCACACAACACUCCUGUUGUUCUAUGUUGACACGAGAAAAAAAUAUUGAAAGAAAUAAGAGGCAAUGGAUAAAGUUUCGUCCCUAAAGGUGGGACGUUCCCUACCAAAAACCAUCAUGCUUUUUGUGAGAAGCUCUGGUUCGUGAGAAGCAUAUACCCAAACCUGCCCCUAAUGGGACAAAAUUUGUACCACGGCAUGUUGAUGUCGCUCCAUGAUAGCAUGCCAAGUUUAAUGAAUUUCAGACGAGUUUUGGAUUUACUAGAAUUUUAAAACCUGGCAUCUCAAUGUUUUGCCGGCAAUCAAUGGUGCCCUGCUGUUCGAAAUUCAUUCCCAUUUCUUGCGUGAGACCUAAGCAUGCAUCCGAAUACACAGAUUUGGUUUUUCAACCAAUUUAUAUGCACUGGAGCAUGUGCGUGUAGUUCAAAUUUGAAUUAUGAACAUAAAUGCAUUGAAAACUCAGUUAAUGCAUAAAAAUGUCCAAACGAACCCUGAAAAAUGACAAAAAUUCACACAAGACUCAAGUUGUUCUACGUUCACACGAAAAAAAAUUGAAAGCAAUAAGAGGCAAUGGAUAUCGUUUCUUCCCCACAGGUGGGAGGUUCCCUACCGAUAACCAUAAUGCUUGUUAUGAGAAAGCUCCGGUUUGUGAGAAGCAUAUACCCAAACCUGCCCCAAAUGGGUCAAAAUUUGUACCAUGGCAUGUUGAUGCCGCUCCAUGAUACCAUGCCAAGUUUCAUGAAUUUCAGACGAGAUUUGGAUUUACUAGAAUUUAAAAACCAGGCCUCUCAAUGUUUUGCCGACAAUCAACAGUGCUCUGCUGUUCGAAAUUCAUUCCCAUUUCUUGUAUGGGACCUAAGCAUGCACCCGAGGACACAGAUUUGAUUUUUCAACCAGUUUAUAUGCACUGGAGCAUGUGCAUGUAGUUCAAAUUUGAAUUAUGCACAUAAAUGCAUUGAAAACUCAGUUAAUGCAUAAAAAUGUCCAAACUAACCCCGAAAAAUCACAAAAAUUCACACAACACUCCUGUUGAUCUAUGUUGACACGAGAAAAAAAUUGAAAGCACUAAGAGGCAAUGGAUAUCGUUUCGUCCCUAAAGGUGGGACGUUCCCUACCGAAAACCAUCAUGCUUGUUGUGAGAAGCUCCGGUUUUUGAGAAGCAUAUACCCAAACCUACCCCUAAUGGGACAAAAUUUGUACCACGGCAUGUAGAUACCGCUCCUUGAUAUCAUGUCAAGUUUCAUGAAUUUCAGACAGGUUUGGAUUUACUAGAAUUUAAAAACCAGGCAUCUCAAUGUUUUGCCGACAAUCAACGGUGCCCUGCUGUUCGAAAUUCAUUCCCAUUUCUUGCAUGGGACCUAAGCAUGCACCCGAGGACACAUAUUUGAUUUUUCAACCAGUUUAUAUGCACUGGAGCAUGUGCAUGUAGUUCAAAUUUGAAUUAUGCACAUAAAUGCAUUGAAAACUCAGUUAAUGCAUAAAAAUGUCCAAACUAACCCCGAAAAAUGACAAAAAUUCACACAGCACUCCUGUUGUUCUAUGUUGACACGAGAAAAAAAAUUGAAAGCACUAAGAGGCAAUGGAUAUCGUUUCGUCCCUAAAGGUGGGACGUUCCCUACCGAAAACCAUCAUGCUUGUUGUGAGAAGCUCCGGUAUGUGAGAAGCAUAUACCCAAACCUGCCCAAAAUGGGACAAAAUUUGUACCAUGGCAUGUUGAUGCCGCUCCAUGAUAGCAUGUCAAGUUUCAUGAAUUUCAGACGAGUUUUGGAUUUACUAGAAUUUAAAAACCAGGCAUGUCCAUGCUUUGCCGGCAACCAACGAUGCCCCGGUGUUCGAAAUUCAUUCCCAUUUCUUGCAUGGGACCAAAGCAUGCACCCGAGGACACAGAUUUGAUUUUCCAACCAAUUUAUAGCACUGGAGCAUGUGCAUAUAGUUGAAAUUUGAAUUAUGCACAUAAAUGCGUUGAAAACUCAGGUAAUGCAUAAAAAUGUCCAAACGAACCCCGAAAAAUCACAAAAAUUCACACAACACUCCUAUUGUUCUAUGUUGACACGAGAAAAAAAAUUGAAAGCAAUAAGAGGCAAUGGAUAUCGUUUCAUCCCUAAAGGUGGGACGUUCCCUACCGAAAACCAUCAUGCUUGUUGUGAGAAGCUCUGGUUCGUGAGAAGCAUAUACCCAAACCUGCCCCAAAUGGGACACAAUUUGUACCACGGCAUGUUGAUGUCGCUCCAUGAUAGCAUGCGAACUUUAAUGAAUUUCAGACGAGUUUUGGAUUUACUAGAAUUUGAAAACCAGGCAUCUCAAUGUUUUGCCGACAAUCAACGGUGCCCUGCUGUUUGAAAUUCAUUCCCAUUUCUUGCAUGGGACCUAAGCAUGCACCCGAGGACACGGAUUUGAUUUUUCAACCAGUUUAUAUGCAUUGGAGCAUCUGCAUGUAGUUCAAGUUUGGAUUAUGCACAUAAAUGCAUUGAAAACUCAAUUAAUGCAUAAAAAUGUCCAAACUAAUUCUGAAAAAUCACAAAAAUUCACACAACACUCCUGUUGUUCUAUGUUGACAGGAGAAAAAAAAUUGAAAGCACUAAGAGGCAUUGGAUAUUGUUUCGUCCCUAAAGGUGGGACGUUCCCUACCGAAACCAUCAUGCUUGUUGUGAGAAGCACCGGUAUGUGAGAAGCAUAUACCCAAACCUGCCCAAAAUGGGACAAAAUUUGUACCAUGGCAUGUUGAUGCCGCUCCAUGAUAGCAUGUCAAGUUUCAUGAAUUUCAGACGAGUUUUGGAUUUACUAGAUUUUAAAAACCAGGCAUGUCAAUGCUUUGCCGGCAACCAACGAUGCCCCGGUGUUCGAAAUUCAUUCCCAUUUCUUGCAUGGGACCAAAGCAUGCACCCGAGGACACAGAUCUGAUUUUCCAACCAAUUUAUAUGCACUGGAGCAUGUGCAUAUAGUUGAAAUUCGAAUUAUGCACAUAAAUGCAUUGAAAACUCAGGUGAUGCAUAAAAAUGUCCAAACGAACCCCGAAAAAUCACAAAAAUUCACACAACACUCCUGUUGUUCUAUGUUGACACGAGAAAAAAAAUUGAAAGCAAUAAGAGGCAAUGGAUAUCGUUUCAUCCCUAAAGGUGGGACGUUCCCUACCGAAAACCAUCAUGCUUGUUGUGAGAAGCUCUGGUUCGUGAGAAGCAUAUACCCAAACCUGCCCCAAAUGGGACACAAUUUGUACCACGGCAUGUUGAUGUCCCUCCAUGAUAGCAUGCCAACUUUAAUGAAUUUCAGACGAGUUUUGGAUUUACUAGAAUUUGAAAACCAGGCAUCUCAAUGUUUUGCCGACAAUCAACGGUGCCCUGCUGUUCGAAAUUCAUUCCCAUUUCUUGCAUGGGACCUAAGCAUGCACCCGAGGACACGGAUUUGAUUUUUCAACCAGUUUAUAUGCAUUGGAGCAUCUGCAUGUAGUUCAAGUUUGGAUUAUGCACAUAAAUGCAUUGAAAACUCAAUUAAUGCAUAAAAAUGUCCAAACUAAUUCUGAAAAAUCACAAAAAUUCACACAACACUCCUGUUGUUCUAUGUUGACAGGAGAAAAAAAAUUGAAAGCACUAAGAGGCAAUGGAUAUUGUUUUGUCCCUAAAGGUGGGACGUUCCCUACCGAAAACCAUCAUGCUUGUUGUGAGAAGCUCCGGUUUGUGAGAAGCAUAUACCCAAACCUGCCCCAAAUAGGACAAAAUUUGUACCACGGCAUGUAGAUACCGCUCCAUGAUAGCAUGUCAAGUUUCAUGAAUUUCAGACGAGUUUUGGAUUUACUAGAAUUUGAAAACCUGGCAUCUCAAUGUUUUGCCGGCAAUCAAUGGUGCCCUGGUCUUCGAAAUUGAUUCCCAUUUCUUGCAUGGGACCUAAGCAUGCACCUGAGGAAACAUAUUUGAUUUUUCAACCAGUUUAUAUGCACUGGAGCAUGUGCAUGUAGUUCAAAUUUGAAUUAUGUACAUAAAUGCAUUGAAAACUCAGUCAAUGCAUAAAAAUAUCCAAACUAACCCCGAAAAAUCACAAAAAUUCACACAACACUCCUGUUGUUCUAUGUUGACAUGAGAACAAAAAUUGAAAGCACUAAGAGGCAAUGGAUAUCAUUUCGUCCCUAAAGGUGGGACGUUCCCUACCGAAAACCAUCAUGCUUGUUGUGAGAAGCUCCGGUUUAUGAGAAGCAUAUACCCAAACUUGCCCCAAGUGGGACAAAAUUUGUACCACGGCAUGUUGAUGCCGCUCCAUGAUAGCAUGUCAAGUUUCAUGAAUUUCAGACGAGUUUUGGAUAUACUAGAAUUUAAAAACCAGGCAUGUCAAUGCUUUGCCGGCAAUCAACGAUGCCCGGGUGUUCGAAAUUCAUUCCCAUUUCUUGCAUUGGACCAAACAUGCACCCGAGGACACAUAUUUGAUUUUUCAACCAGUUUAUAUGCACUGGAGCAUGUGCAUAUAGUUCAAAUUUGAAUUAUGCAAAUAAAUGCAUUGAAAACUCAGUUAAUGCAUAAAAAUGUCCAAAUGAACCCCGAAAAAUCACAAAAAUUCACACAACACUCCUGUUGUUCUAUGUUGACACGAGAAAAAAAUAUUGAAAGCAAUAAGAGGCAAUGGAUAAAGUUUCGUCCCUAAAGAUGGGACGUUCCCUACCGAAAACCAUCAUGCUUGUUGUGACAAGCUUCGGUUCGUGAGAAGCAUAUACCCAAACCUGCCCCAAAUGGGACAAAAUUUGUACCACGGCAUGUUGAUGUCGCUCCAUGAUAGCAUGCCAAGUUUAAUGAAUUUCAGACGAGUUUUGGAUUUACUAUAAUUUUAAAACCUGGCAUCUCAAUGUUUUGCCGGCAAUCAAUGGUGCCCUGCUGUUCGAAAUUCAUUCCCAUUUCUUGCAUGAGACCUAAGCAUGCAUCCGAAUACACAGAUUUGGUUUUUCAACCAGUUUAUAUGCACUGGAGCAUGUGCGUGUAGUUCAAAUUUGAAUUAUGCACAUAAAUGCAUUGAAAACUCAGUUAAUGCAUAAAAAUGUCCAAACGAACCCCGAAAAAUCACAAAAAUUCACAGAAAACUCAAGUUGUUCUACGUUCACACGAAAUAAAAUUGAAAGCAAUAAGAGGCAAUGGAUAUCGUUUCUUACCCAAAGGUGGGAGGUUCCCUACCGAUAACCAUAAUGCUUGUUGUGAGAAAGCUCCGGUUUGUGAGAAGCAUAUACCCAAACCUGCCCCAAAUCGGUCAAAAUUUGUACCAUGGCAUAUUGAUGCCGCUCCAUGAUAGCAUGCCAAGUUUCAUGAAUUUCAGACGAGAUUUGGAUUUACUAGAAUUUAAAAACCAGGCCUCCCAAUGUUUUGCCGACAAUCAACGGUGCCUGGCUGUUCGAAAUUCAUUCCCAUUUCUUGCAUGGGACCUCAGCAUGCACCCGAGGACACAGAUUUGAUUUUUCAACCAGUUUAUAUGCACUGGAGCAUUUGCAUGUAGUACAAAUUUUAAUUAUGCACAUAAAUGCAUUGAAAACUCAGUUAAUGCAUAAAAAUGUCCAAACUAACCCCGAAAAAUCACAAAAAUUCACACAACACUCCUGUUGAUCUAUGUUGACACGAGAAAAAAAUUGAAAGCACUAAGAGGCAAUGGAUAUCGUUUCGUCCCUAAAGGUGGGACGUUCCCUACCGAAAACCAUCAUGCUUGUUGUGAGAAGCUCCGGUUUGUGAGAAGCAUACACCCAAACCUACCCCUAAUGGGACAAAAUUUGUACCACGACAUGUAGAUACCGCUCCAUGAUGGCUUGUCAAGUUUCAUGAAUUUCAGACGAGUUUUGGAUUUACUAGAAUUUAAAAACUAGGCAUCUCAAUGUUUUGCCGACAAUCAACGGUGCCCUGCUGUUCAAAAUUCAUUCCCAUUUCUUGCAUGGGACCUAAGCAUGCACCCGAGGACACAUGUUUGAUUUUUCAACCAGUUUAUAUGCACUUGAGCAUGUGCAUGUAGUUCAAAUUUGAAUUAUGCACAUAAAUGCAUUGAAAACUCGGUUAAUGCAUAAAAAUGUCCAAAUGAACCCCGAAAAAUCACAAAAAUUCACACAACACUCCUGUUGUUCUAUGUUGACACGAGAAAAAAAUAUUGAAAGCAAUAAGAGGCAAUGGAUAAAGUUUCGUCCCUAAAGAUGGGACGUUCCCUACCGAAAACCAUCAUGCUUGUUGUGACAAGCUUCGGUUCGUGAGAAGCAUAUACCCAAACCUGCCCCAAAUGGGACAAAAUUUGUACCACGGCAUGUUGAUGUCGCUCCAUGAUAGCAUGCCAAGUUUAAUGAAUUUCAGACGAGUUUUGGAUUUACUAGAAUUUUAAAACCUGGCAUCUCAAUGUUUUGCCGGCAAUCAAUGGUGCCCUGCUGUUCGAAAUUCAUUCCCAUUUCUUGCAUGAGACCUAAGCAUGCAUCCGAAUACACAGAUUUGGUUUUUCAACCAAUUUAUAUGCACUGGAGCAUGUGCGUGUAGUUCAAAUUUGAAUUAUGCACAUAAAUGUAUUGAAAACUCAGUUAAUGCAUAAAAAUGUCCAAACGAACCCCGAAAAAUCACAAAAAUUCACACAAAACUCAAGUUGUUCUACGUUCACACGAAAUAAAAUUGAAAGCAAUAAGAGGCAAUGGAUAUCGUUUCUUACCCAAAGGUGGGAGGUUCCCUACCGAUAACCAUAAUGCUUGUUGUGAGAAAGCUCCGGUUUGUGAGAAGCAUAUACCCAAACCUGCCCCAAAUGGGUCAAAAUUUGUACCAUGGCAUGUUGAUGCCGCUCCAUGAUAGCAUGCCAAGUUUCAUGAAUUUCAGACGAGAUUUGGAUUUACUAGAAUUUAAAAACCAGGCCUCCCAAUGUUUUGCCGACAAUCAACGGUGCCCGGCUGUUCGAAAUUCAUUCCCAUUUCUUGCAUGGGACCUCAGCAUGCACCCGAGGACACAGAUUUGAUUUUUCAACCAGUUUAUAUGCACUGGAGCAUGUGCAUGUAGUACAAAUUUUAAUUAUGCACAUAAAUGCAUUGAAAACUCAGUUAAUGCAUAAAAAUGUCCAAACUAACCCCGAAAAAUCACAAAAAUUCACACAACACUCCUGUUGAUCUAUGUUGACACGAGAAAAAAAUUGAAAGCACUAAGAGGCAAUGGAUAUCGUUUCGUCCCUAAAGGUGGGACGUUCCCUACCGAAAACCAUCAUGCUUGUUGUGAGAAGCUCCGGUUUGUGAGAAGCAUAUACCCAAACCUACCCCUAAUGGGACAAAAUUUGUACCACGACAUGUAGAUACCGCUCCAUGAUGGCUUGUCAAGUUUCAUGAAUUUCAGACGAGUUUUGGAUUUACUAGAAUUUAAAAACUAGGCAUCUCAAUGUUUUGCCGACAAUCAACGGUGCCCUGCUGUUCAAAAUUCAUUCCCAUUUCUUGCAUGGGACCUAAGCAUGCACCCGAGGACACAUGUUUGAUUUUUCAACCGGUUUAUAUGCACUUGAGCAUGUGCAUGUAGUUCAAAUUUGAAUUAUGCACAUAAAUGCAUUGAAAACUCGGUUAAUGCAUAAAAAUGUCCAAAUGAACCCCGAAAAAUCACAAAAAUUCACACAACACUCCUGUUGUUCUAUGUUGACACGAGAAAAAAAUAUUGAAAGCAAUAAGAGGCAAUGGAUAAAGUUUCGUCCCUAAAGAUGGGACGUUCCCUACCGAAAACCAUCAUGCUUGUUGUGACAAGCUUCGGUUCGUGAGAAGCAUAUACCCAAACCUGCCCCAAAUGGGACAAAAUUUGUACCACGGCAUGUUGAUGUCGCUCCAUGAUAGCAUGCCAAGUUUAAUGAAUUUCAGACGAGUUUUGGAUUUACUAGAAUUUUUAAACCUGGCAUCUCAAUGUUUUGCCGGCAAUCAAUGGUGCCCUGCUGUUCGAAAUUCAUUCCCAUUUCUUGCAUGAGACCUAAGCAUGCAUCCGAAUACACAGAUUUGGUUUUUCAACCAAUUUAUAUGCACUGGAGCAUGUGCGUGUAGUUCAAAUUUGAAUUAUGCACAUAAAUGCAUUGAAAACUCAGUUAAUGCAUAAAAAUGUCCAAACGAACCCCGAAAAAUCACAAAAAUUCACACAAAACUCAAGUUGUUCUACGUUCACACGAAAAAAAAUUGAAAGCAAUAAGAGGCAAUGGAUAUCGUUUCUUCCCCAAAGGUGGGAGGUUCCCUACCGAUAACCAUAAUGCUUGUUGUGAGAAAGCUCCGGUUUGUGAGAAGCAUAUACCCAAACCUGCCCCAAAUGGGUCAAAAUUUGUACCAUGGCAUGUUGAUGCCGCUCCAUGAUAGCAUGCCAAGUUUCAUGAAUUUCAGACGAGAUUUGGAUUUACUAGAAUUUAAAAACCAGGCCUCCCAAUGUUUUGCCGACAAUCAACGGUGCCCGGCUGUUCGAAAUUCAUUCCCAUUUCUUGCAUGGGACCUCAGCAUGCACCCGAGGACACAGAUUUGAUUUUUCAACCAGUUUAUAUGCACUGGAGCAUGUGCAUGUAGUUCAAAUUUUAAUUAUGCACAUAAAUGCAUUGAAAACUCAGUUAAUGCAUAAAAAUGUCCAAACUAACCCCGAAAAAUCACAAAAUUUCACACAACACUCCUGUUGAUCUAUGUUGACACGAGAAAAAAGUUGAAAGCACUAAGAGGCAAUGGAUAUCGUUUCGUCCCUAAAGGUGGGACGUUCCCUACCGAAAACCAUCAUGCUUGUUGUGAGAAGCUCCGGUUUGUGAGAAGCAUAUACCCAAACCUACCCCUAAUGGGACAAAAUUUGUACCACGACAUGUAGAUACCGCUCCAUGAUGGCUUGUCAAGUUUCAUGAAUUUCAGACGAGUUUUGAAUUUACUAGAAUUUAAAAACUACGCAUCUCAAUGUUUUGCCGACAAUCAACGGUGCCCUGCUGUUCAAAAUUCAUUCCCAUUUCUUGCAUGGGACCUAAGCAUGCACCCGAGGACACAUGUUUGAUUUUUCAACCAGUUUAUAUGCACUUGAGCAUGUGCAUGUAGUUCAAAUUUGAAUUAUGCACAUAAAUGCAUUGAAAACUCAGUUAAUGCAUAAAAAUGUCCAAACUAACCCAGAAAAAUCACAAAAAUUCACACAGCACUCCUGUUGUUCUAUGUUGACACGAGAAAAAAAAUUGAAAGCACUAAGAGGCAAUGGAUAUCGUUUCGUCCCUAAAGGUGGGACGUUCCCUACCGAAAACCAUCAUGCUUGUUGUGAGAAGCUCCGGUUUGUGAGAAGCAUAUACCCAAACCUGCCCAAAAUGGGACAAAAUUUGUACCAUGGCUUGUUGAUGCCGCUCCAUGAUAGCAUGCCAAGUUUCAUGAAUUUCAGACGAGUUUUGGAUUUACUAGAAUUUAAAAACCAGGCAUGUCAAUGCUUUGCCGGCAACCAACGAUGCCCUGGUGUUCGAAAUUCAUUGCCAUUUCUUGCAUGGGACCAAAGCAUGCACCCGACGACACAGAUUUGAUUUUCCAACCAAUUUAUAUGCACUGGAGCAUGUGCAUAUAGUUCAAUUUUGAAUUAUGCACACAAAUGCAUUGAAAACUCAAUUAAUGCAUAAAAAUGUCCAAACUAACCCCAAAAAUAACAAAAAUUCACACAACACUCCAGUUGUUCUAUGUUGACACGAGAAAAAAAAUUGAAAGCAAUAAGAGGCAAUGGAUAUCAUUUCGUCCCAAAAGGUGGGACGUUCCCUACCGAAAACCAUCAUGCUUGUUGUGAGAAGCUCUGGCUCGUGAGAAGCAUAUACCAAAACCUGCCCCAAAUGGGACACAAUUUGUACCACGGCAUGUUGAUGUUGCUCCAUGAUAGCAUGCCAACUUUAAUGAAUUUCAGACGAGUUUUGGAUUUACUAGAAUUUGAAAACCAGGCAUCUCAAUGUUUUGCCGACAAUCAACGGUGCCCUGCUGUUUGAAAUUCAUUCACAUUUCUUGCAUGGGACCUAAGCAUGCACCCGAGGACACGGAUUUGAUUUUUCAACCAGUUUAUAUGCACUGGAGCAUGUGCAUGUAGUUCAAAUUUGGAUUAUGCACAUAAAUGCAUUGAAAACUCAAUUAAUGCAUAAAAAUGUCCGAACUAAUUCCGAAAAAUCACAAAAAUUCACACAACACUCCUGUUGUUCUAUGUUGACAGGAGAAAAAAAAUUGAAAGCACUAAGAGGCAAUGGAUAUUGUUUCGUGCCUAAAGGUGGGACGUUCCCUACCGAAAACCAUCAUGCUUGUUGUGAGAAGCUCCGGUUUGUGAGAAGCAUAUACCCAAACCUGCCCCAAGUGGGACAAAAUUUGUACCACGGCAUGUAGAUACCGCUCCACGAUAGCAUGUCAAGUUUCAUGAAUUUCAGACGAGUUUUGGAUUUACUAGAAUUUGAAAACCUGGCAUCUCAAUGUUUUGCCGGCAAUCAAUGGUGCCCUGGUGUUCGAAAUUCAUUCCCAUUUCUUGCAUGAGACCUAAGCAUGCACCCGAAUACACAGAUUUGGUUUUUCAACCAAUUUAUAUGCACUGGAGCAUGUGCAUGUAGUUCAAAUUUGAAUCAUGCACUUGAAUGCAUUUAAAACUCAGUUAAUGCAUAAAAAUGUCCAAAGAAACCCCGAAAAAUCACAAAAAUUCACACAACACUCCUGUUGUUCUAUGUUGACACGAGAAAAAAAAUUGAAAGCACUAAGUGGCAAUGGAUAUCGUUUCGUCCCUAAAGGUGGGACGUUCCCUACCGAAAACCAUCAUGCUUGUUGUGAGAAGCUCCGGUUUGUGAGAAGCAUAUACCCAAACCUACCCCUAAUGGGACAAAAUUUGUACCACGACAUGUAGAUACCGCUCCAUGAUGGCUUGUCAAGUUUCAUGAAUUUCAGACGAGUUUUGGAUUUACUAGAAUUUAAAAACUAGGCAUCUCAAUGUUUUGCCGACAAUCAACGGUGCCCUGCUGUUCAAAAUUCAUUCCCAUUUCUUGCAUGGGACCUAAGCAUGCACCCGAGGACACAUGUUUGAUUUUUCAACCAGUUUAUAUGCACUUGAGCAUGUGCAUGUAGUUCAAAUUUGAAUUAUGCACAUAAAUGCAUUGAAAACUCAGUUAAUGCAUAAAAAUGUCCAAAUGAACCCCGAAAAAUCACAAAAAUUCACACAACACUCCUGUUGUUCUAUGUUGACACGAGAAAAAAAUAUUGAAAGCAAUAAGAGGCAAUGGAUAAAGUUUCGUCCCUAAAGAUGGGACGUUCCCUACCGAAAACCAUCAUGCUUGUUGUGACAAGCUUCGGUUCGUGAGAAGCAUAUACCCAAACCUGCCCCAAAUGGGACAAAAUUUGUACCACGGCAUGUUGAUGUCGCUCCAUGAUAGCAUGCCAAGUUUAAUGAAUUUCAGACGAGUUUAGGAUUUACUAGAAUUUUAAAACCUGGCAUCUCAAUGUUUUGCCGGCAAUCAAUGGUGCCCUGUUGUUCGAAAUUCAUUCCCAUUUCUUGCAUGAGACCUAAGCAUGCAUCCGAAUACACAGAUUUGGUUUUUCAACCAAUUUAUAUGCACUGGAGCAUGUGCGUGUAGUUCAAAUUUGAAUUAUGCACAUAAAUGCAUUGAAAACUCAGUUAAUGCAUAAAAAUUUCCAAACGAACCCCGAAAAAUCACAAAAAUUCACACAAAACUCAAGUUGUUCUACGUUCACACGAAAAAAAAUUGAAAGCAAUAAGAGGCAAUGGAUAUCGUUUCUUCCCCAAAGGUGGGAGGUUCCCUACCGAUAACCAUAAUGCUUGUUGUGAGAAAGCUCCGGUUUGUGAGAAGCAUAUACCCAAACCUGCCCCAAAUGGGUCAAAAUUUGUACCAUGGCAUAUUGAUGCCGCUCCAUGAUAGCAUGCCAAGUUUCAUGAAUUUCAGACGAGAUUUGGAUUUACUAGAAUUUAAAAACCAGGCCUCCCAAUGUUUUGCCGACAAUCAACGGUGCCCGGCUGUUCGAAAUUCAUUCCCAUUUCUUGCAUGGGACCUCAGCAUGCACCCGAGGACACAGAUUUGAUUUUUCAACCAGUUUAUAUGCACUGGAGCACGUGCAUGUAGUUCAAAUUUUAAUUAUGCACAUAAAUGCAUUGAAAACUCAGUUAAUGCAUAAAAAUGUCCAAACUAACCCCGAAAAAUCACAAAAAUUCACACAACACUCCUGUUGAUCUAUGUUGACACGAGAAAAAAAUUGAAAGCACUAAGAGGCAAUGGAUAUCGUUUCGUCCCUAAAGGUGGGACGUUCCCUACCGAAAACCAUCAUGCUUGUUGUGAGAAGCUCCGGUUUGUGAGAAGCAUAUACCCAAACCUACCCCUAAUGGGACAAAAUUUGUACCACGACAUGUAGAUACCGCUCCAUGAUGGCUUGUCAAGUUUCAUGAAUUUCAGACGAGUUUUGGAUUUACUAGAAUUUAAAAACUAGGCAUCUCAAUGUUUUGCCGACAAUCAACGGUGCCCUGCUGUUCAAAAUUCAUUCCCAUUUCUUGCAUGGGACCUAAGCAUGCACCCGAGGACACAUGUUUGAUUUUUCAACCAGUUUAUAUGCACUUGAGCAUGUGCAUGUAGUUCAAAUUUGAAUUAUGCACAUAAAUGCAUUGAAAACUCAGUUAAUGCAUAAAAAUGUCCAAAUGAACCCCGAAAAAUCACAAAAAUUCACACAACACUCCUGUUGUUCUAUGUUGACACGAGAAAAAAAUAUUGAAAGCAAUAAGAGGCAAUGGAUAAAGUUUCGUCCCUAAAGAUGGGACGUUCCCUACCGAAAACCAUCAUGCUUGUUGUGACAAGCUUCGGUUCGUGAGAAGCAUAUACCCAAACCUGCCCCAAAUGGGACAAAAUUUGUACCACGGCAUGUUGAUGUCGCUCCAUGAUAGCAUGCCAAGUUUAAUGAAUUUCAGACGAGUUUUGGAUUUACUAGAAUUUUAAAACCUGGCAUCUCAAUGUUUUGCCGGCAAUCAAUGGUGCCCUGCUGUUCGAAAUUCAUUCCCAUUUCUUGCAUGAGACCUAAGCAUGCAUCCGAAUACACAGAUUUGGUUUUUCAACCAAUUUAUAUGCACUGGAGCAUGUGCGUGUAGUUCAAAUUUGAAUUAUGCACAUAAAUGCAUUGAAAACUCAGUUAAUGCAUAAAACUUUCCAAACGAACCCCGAAAAAUCACAAAAAUUCACACAAAACUCAAGUUGUUCUACGUUCACACGAAAAAAAAUUGAAAGCAAUAAGAGGCAAUGGAUAUCGUUUCUUCCCCAAAGGUGGGAGGUUCCCUACCGAUAACCAUAAUGCUUGUUGUGAGAAAGCUCCCGUUUGUGAGAAGCAUAUACCCAAACCUGCCCCAAAUGGGUCAAAAUUUGUACCAUGGCAUGUUGAUGCCGCUCCAUGAUAGCAUGCCAAGUUUCAUGAAUUUCAGACGAGAUUUGGAUUUACUAGAAUUUAAAAACCAGGCCUCCCAAUGUUUUGCCGACAAUCAACGGUGCCCGGCUGUUCGUAAUUCAUUCCCAUUUCUUGCAUGGGACCUCAGCAUGCACCCGAGGACACAGAUUUGAUUUUUCAACCAGUUUAUAUGCACUGGAGCACGUGCAUGUAGUUCAAAUUUUAAUUAUGCACAUAAAUGCAUUGAAAACUCAGUUAAUGCAUAAAAAUGUCCAAACUAACCCCGAAAAAUCACAAAAAUUCACACAACACUCCUGUUGAUCUAUGUUGACACGAGAAAAAAAUUGAAAGCACUAAGAGGCAAUGGAUAUCGUUUCGUCCCUAAAGGUGGGACGUUCCCUACCGAAAACCAUCAUGCUUGUUGUGAGAAGCUCUGGCUCGUGAGAAGCAUAUACCAAAACCUGCCCCAAAUGGGACACAAUUUGUACCACGGCAUGUUGAUGUUGCUCCAUGAUAGCAUGCCAACUUUAAUGAAUUUCAGACGAGUUUUGGAUUUACUAGAAUUUGAAAACCAGGCAUCUCAAUGUUUUGCCGACAAUCAACGGUGCCCUGCUGUUUGAAAUUCAUUCACAUUUCUUGCAUGGGACCUAAGCAUGCACCCGAGGACACGGAUUUGAUUUUUCAACCAGUUUAUAUGCACUGGAGCAUGUGCAUGUAGUUCAAAUUUGGAUUAUGCACAUAAAUGCAUUGAAAACUCAAUUAAUGCAUAAAAAUGUCCGAACUAAUUCCGAAAAAUCACAAAAAUUCACACAACACUCCUGUUGUUCUAUGUUGACAGGAGAAAAAAAAUUGAAAGCACUAAGAGGCAAUGGAUAUUGUUUCGUGCCUAAAGGUGGGACGUUCCCUACCGAAAACCAUCAUGCUUGUUGUGAGAAGCUCCGGUUUGUGAGAAGCAUAUACCCAAACCUGCCCCAAAUGGGACAAAAUUUGUACCACGGCAUGUAGAUACCGCUCCACGAUAGCAUGUCAAGUUUCAUGAAUUUCAGACGAGUUUUGGAUUUACUAGAAUUUGAAAACCUGGCAUCUCAAUGUUUUGCCGGCAAUCAAUGGUGCCCUGGUGUUCGAAAUUCAUUCCCAUUUCUUGCAUGAGACCUAAGCAUGCACCCGAAUACACAGAUUUGGUUUUUCAACCAAUUUAUAUGCACUGGAGCAUGUGCAUGUAGUUCAAAUUUGAAUCAUGCACUUGAAUGCAUUUAAAACUCAGUUAAUGCAUAAAAAUGUCCAAACAAACCCCGAAAAAUCACAAAAAUUCACACAACACUCCUGUUGUUCUAUGUUGACACGAGAAAAAAAAAUUGAAAGCACUAAGAGGCAAUGGAUAUCGUUUCGUCCCUAAAGGUGGGACGUUCCCUACCGAAAACCAUCAUGCUUGUUGUGAGAAGCUCCGGUUUGUGAGAAGCAUAUACCCAAACCUACCCCUAAUGGGACAAAAUUUGUACCACGACAUGUAGAUACCGCUCCAUGAUGGCUUGUCAAGUUUCAUGAAUUUCAGACGAGUUUUGGAUUUACUAGAAUUUAAAAACUAGGCAUCUCAAUGUUUUGCCGACAAUCAACGGUGCCCUGCUGUUCAAAAUUCAUUCCCAUUUCUUGCAUGGGACCUAAGCAUGCACCCGAGGACACAUGUUUGAUUUUUCAACCAGUUUAUAUGCACUUGAGCAUGUGCAUGUAGUUCAAAUUUGAAUUAUGCACAUAAAUGCAUUGAAAACUCAGUUAAUGCAUAAAAAUGUCCAAAUGAACCCCGAAAAAUCACAAAAAUUCACACAACACUCCUGUUGUUCUAUGUUGACACGAGAAAAAAAUAUUGAAAGCAAUAAGAGGCAAUGGAUAAAGUUUCGUCCCUAAAGAUGGGACGUUCCCUACCGAAAACCAUCAUGCUUGUUGUGACAAGCUUCGGUUCGUGAGAAGCAUAUACCCAAACCUGCCCCAAAUGGGACAAAAUUUGUACCACGGCAUGUUGAUGUCGCUCCAUGAUAGCAUGCCAAGUUUAAUGAAUUUCAGACGAGUUUUGGAUUUACUAGAAUUUUAAAACCUGGCAUCUCAAUUUUUUGCCGGCAAUCAAUGGUGCCCUGCUGUUCGAAAUUCAUUCCCAUUUCUUGCAUGAGACCUAAGCAUGCAUCCGAAUACACAGAUUUGGUUUUUCAACCAAUUUAUAUGCACUGGAGCAUGUGCGUGUAGUUCAAAUUUGAAUUAUGCACAUAAAUGCAUUGAAAACUCAGUUAAUGCAUAAAAAUUUCCAAACGAACCCCGAAAAAUCACAAAAAUUCACACAAAACUCAAGUUGUUCUACGUUCACACGAAAAAAAAUUGAAAGCAAUAAGAGGCAAUGGAUAUCGUUUCUUCCCCAAAGGUGGGAGGUUCCCUACCGAUAACCAUAAUGCUUGUUGUGAGAAAGCUCCGGUUUGUGAGAAGCAUAUACCCAAACCUGCCCCAAAUGGGUCAAAAUUUGUACCAUGGCAUGUUGAUGCCGCUCCAUGAUAGCAUGCCAAGUUUCAUGAAUUUCAGACGAGAUUUGGAUUUACUAGAAUUUAAAAACCAGGCCUCCCAAUGUUUUGCCGACAAUCAACGGUGCCCGGCUGUUCGAAAUUCAUUCCCAUUUCUUGCAUGGGACCUCAGCAUGCACCCGAGGACACAGAUUUGAUUUUUCAACCAGUUUAUAUGCACUGGAGCACGUGCAUGUAGUUCAAAUUUUAAUUAUGCACAUAAAUGCAUUGAAAACUCAGUUAAUGCAUAAAAAUGUCCAAACUAACCCCGAAAAAUCACAAAAAUUCACACAACACUCCUGUUGAUCUAUGUUGACACGAGAAAAAAAUUGAAAGCACUAAGAGGCAAUGGAUAUCGUUUCGUCCCUAAAGGUGGGACGUUCCCUACCGAAAACCAUCAUGCUUGUUGUGAGAAGCUCCGGUUUGUGAGAAGCAUAUACCCAAACCUACCCCUAAUGGGACAAAAUUUGUACCACGACAUGUAGAUACCGCUCCAUGAUGGCUUGUCAAGUUUCAUGAAUUUCAGACGAGUUUUGGAUUUACUAGAAUUUAAAAACUAGGCAUCUCAAUGUUUUGCCGACAAUCAACGGUGCCCUGCUGUUCAAAAUUCAUUCCCAUUUCUUGCAUGGGACCUAAGCAUGCACCCGAGGACACAUGUUUGAUUUUUCAACCAGUUUAUAUGCACUUGAGCAUGUGCAUGUAGUUCAAAUUUGAAUUAUGCACAUAAAUGCAUUGAAAACUCAGUUAAUGCAUAAAAAUGUCCAAACUAACCCCGAAAAAUCACAAAAAUUCACACAGCACUCCUGUUGUUCUAUGUUGACACGAGAAAAAAAAUUGAAAGCACUAAGAGGCAAUGGAUAUCGUUUCGUCCCUAAAGGUGGGACGUUCCCUACCAAAAACCAUCAUGCUUGUUGUGAGAAGCUCCGGUUUGUGAGAAGCAUAUACCCAAACCUGCCCAAAAUGGGACAAAAUUUGUACCAUGGCUUGUUGAUGCCGCUCCAUGAUAGCAUGCCAAGUUUCAUGAAUUUCAGACGAGUUUUGGAUUUACUAGAAUUUAAAAACCAGGCAUGUCAAUGCUUUGCCGGCAACCAACGAUGCCCUGGUGUUCGAAAUUCAUUGCCAUUUCUUGCAUGGGACCAAAGCAUGCACCCGACGACACAGAUUUGAUUUUCCAACCAAUUUAUAUGCACUGGAGCAUGUGCAUAUAGUUCAAUUUUGAAUUAUGCACAGAAAUGCAUUGAAAACUCAAUUAAUGCAUAAAAAUGUCCAAACUAACCCCAAAAAUAACAAAAAUUCACACAACACUCCAGUUGUUCUAUGUUGACACGAGAAAAAAAAUUGAAAGCAAUAAGAGGCAAUGGAUAUCGUUUCGUCCCUAAAGGUGGGACGUUCCCUACCGAAAACCAUCAUGCUUGUUGUGAGAAGCUCUGGCUCGUGAGAAGCAUAUACCAAAACCUGCCCCAAAUGGGACACAAUUUGUACCACGGCAUGUUGAUGUUGCUCCAUGAUAGCAUGCCAACUUUAAUGAAUUUCAGACGAGUUUUGGAUUUACUAGAAUUUGAAAACCAGGCAUCUCAAUGUUUUGCCGACAAUCAACGGUGCCCUGCUGUUUGAAAUUCAUUCACAUUUCUUGCAUGGGACCUAAGCAUGCACCCGAGGACACGGAUUUGAUUUUUCAACCAGUUUAUAUGCACUGGAGCAUGUGCAUGUAGUUCAAAUUUGGAUUAUGCACAUAAAUGCAUUGAAAACUCAAUUAAUGCAUAAAAAUGUCCGAACUAAUUCCGAAAAAUCACAAAAAUUCACACAACACUCCUGUUGUUCUAUGUUGACAGGAGAAAAAAAAUUGAAAGCACUAAGAGGCAAUGGAUAUUGUUUCGUGCCUAAAGGUGGGACGUUCCCUACCGAAAACCAUCAUGCUUGUUGUGAGAAGCUCCGGUUUGUGAGAAGCAUAUACCCAAACCUGCCCCAAAUGGGACAAAAUUUGUACCACGGCAUGUAGAUACCGCUCCACGAUAGCAUGUCAAGUUUCAUGAAUUUCAGACGAGUUUUGGAUUUACUAGAAUUUGAAAACCUGGCAUCUCAAUGUUUUGCCGGCAAUCAAUGGUGCCCUGGUGUUCGAAAUUCAUUCCCAUUUCUUGCAUGAGACCUAAGCAUGCACCCGAAUACACAGAUUUGGUUUUUCAACCAAUUUAUAUGCACUGGAGCAUGUGCAUGUAGUUCAAAUUUGAAUCAUGCACUUGAAUGCAUUUAAAACUCAGUUAAUGCAUAAAAAUGUCCAAACAAACCCCGAAAAAUCACAAAAAUUCACACAACACUCCUGUUGUUCUAUGUUGACACGAGAAAAUAAAUUGAAAGCACUAAGAGGCAAUGGAUAUCAUUUCGUCUCUAAAGGUGGGACGUUCCCUACCGAAAACCAUCAUGCUUGUUGUGAGAAACUCCGGUUUGUGAGAAGCUUAUACCCAAACCUGCCCCAAAUGGGACAAAAAUUUUACAACGGCAUGUAGAUACCGCUCCAUGAUAGCAUGUCAAGUUUCUUGAAUUUCAGACGAGUUUUGGAUUUACUAGAAUUUAAAAACCAGGCAUCUCAAUGUUUUUCCGACAAUCAAUGGUGCCCUGCUGUUUGAAAUUCAUUCCCAUUGCUUGCAUGGGACAUAAGCAUGCACCCGAGGAAACAUAUUUGAUUUUUCAACCAGUUUAUAUGCACUGGAGCAUGUGCAUGUAGUUCAAAUAUGAAUUAUGCACAUAAAUGCAUUGAAAACUCAGUUAAUGCAUAAAAAUGUCCGAACUAACCCUGAAAAAUCACAAAAAUUCACACAGCACUCCUGUUGUUCUAUGUUGACACGAGAAAAAAAAUUGAAAGCACUAAGAGGCAAUGGAUAUCGUUUCGUCCCUAAAGGUGGGACGUUCCCUACCGAAAACCAUCAUGCUUGUUGUGAGAAGCUCCGGUUUGUGAGAAGCAUAUACCCAAACCUGCCCAAAAUGGGACAAAAUUUGUACCAUGGCUUGUUGAUGCCGCUCCAUGAUAGCAUGCCAAGUUUCAUGAAUUUCAGACGAGUUUUGGAUUUACUAGAAUUUAAAAACCAGGCAUUUCAAUGCUUUGCCGGCAACCAACGAUGCCCUGGUGUUCGAAAUUCAUUGCCAUUUCUUGCAUGGGACCAAAGCAUGCACCCGACGACACAGAUUUGAUUUUCCAACCAAUUUAUAUGCACUGGAGCAUGUGCAUAUAGUUCAAUUUUGAAUUAUGCACAGAAAUGCAUUGAAAACUCAAUUAAUGCAUAAAAAUGUCCAAACUAACCCCAAAAAUAACAAAAAUUCACACAACACUCUAGUUGUUCUAUGUUGACACGAGAAAAAAAAUUGAAAGCAAUAAGAGGCAAUGGAUAUCGUUUCGUCCCUAAAGGUGGGACGUUCCCUACCGAAAACCAUCAUGCUUGUUGUGAGAAGCUCUGGCUCGUGAGAAGCAUAUACCAAAACCUGCCCCAAAUGGGACACAAUUUGUACCACGGCAUGUUGAUGUUGCUCCAUGAUAGCAUGCCAACUUUAAUGAAUUUCAGACGAGUUUUGGAUUUACUAGAAUUUGAAAAGCAGGCAUCUCAAUGUUUUGCCGACAAUCAACGGUGCCCUGCUGUUUGAAAUUCAUUCACAUUUCUUGCAUGGGAUCUAAGCAUGCACCCGAGGACACGGAUUUGAUUUUUCAACCAGUUUAUAUGCACUGGAGCAUGUGCAUGUAGUUCAAAUUUGGAUUAUGCACAUAAAUGCAUUGAAAACUCAAUUAAUGCAUAAAAAUGUCCGAACUAAUUCCGAAAAAUCACAAAAAUUCACACAACACUCCUGUUGUUCUAUGUUGACAGGAGAAAAAAAAUUGAAAGCACUAAGAGGCAAUGGAUAUUGUUUCGUGCCUAAAGGUGGGACGUUCCCUACCGAAAACCAUCAUGCUUGUUGUGAGAAGCUCCGGUUUGUGAGAAGCAUAUACCCAAACCUGCCCCAAAUGGGACAAAAUUUGUACCACGGCAUGUAGAUACCGCUCCACGAUAGCAUGUCAAGUUUCAUGAAUUUCAGACGAGUUUUGGAUUUACUAGAAUUUGAAAACCUGGCAUCUCAAUGUUUUGCCGGCAAUCAAUGGUGCCCUGGUGUUCGAAAUUCAUUCCCAUUUCUUGCAUGAGACCUAAGCAUGCACCCGAAUACACAGAUUUGGUUUUUCAACCAAUUUAUAUGCACUGGAGCAUGUGCAUGUAGUUCAAAUUUGAAUCAUGCACUUGAAUGCAUUUAAAACUCAGUUAAUGCAUAAAAAUGUCCAAACAAACCCCGAAAAAUCACAAAAAUUCACACAACACUCCUGUUGUUCUAUGUUGACACGAGAAAAUAAAUUGAAAGCACUAAGAGGCAAUGGAUAUCAUUUCGUCUCUAAAGGUGGGACGUUCCCUACCGAAAACCAUCAUGCUUGUUGUGAGAAACUCCGGUUUGUGAGAAGCUUAUACCCAAACCUGCCCCAAAUGGGACAAAAAUUUUACAACGGCAUGUAGAUACCGCUCCAUGAUAGCAUGUCAAGUUUCUUGAAUUUCAGACGAGUUUUGGAUUUACUAGAAUUUAAAAACCAGGCAUCUCAAUGUUUUUCCGACAAUCAAUGGUGCCCUGCUGUUUGAAAUUCAUUCCCAUUUCUUGCAUGGGACAUAAGCAUGCACCCGAGGAAACAUAUUUGAUUUUUCAACCAGUUUAUAUGCACUGGAGCAUGUGCAUGUAGUUCAAAUUUGAAUUAUGCACAUAAAUGCAUUGAAAACUCAGUUAAUGCAUAAAAAUGUCCAAACUAACCCUGAAAAAUCACAAAAAUUCACACAGCACUCCUGUUGUUCUAUGUUGACACGAGAAAAAAAAUUGAAAGCACUAAGAGGCAAUGGAUAUCGUUUCGUCCCUAAAGGUGGGACGUUCCCUACCGAAAACCAUCAUGCUUGUUGUGAGAAGCUCCGGUUUGUGAGAAGCAUAUACCCAAACCUGCCCAAAAUGGGACAAAAUUUGUACCAUGGCUUGUUGAUGCCGCUCCAUGAUAGCAUGCCAAGUUUCAUGAAUUUCAGACGAGUUUUGGAUUUACUAGAAUUUAAAAACCAGGCAUGUCAAUGCUUUGCCGGCAACCAACGAUGCCCUGGUGUUCGAAAUUCAUUGCCAUUUCUUGCAUGGGACCAAAGCAUGCACCCGACGACACAGAUUUGAUUUUCCAACCAAUUUAUAUGCACUGGAGCAUGUGCAUAUAGUUCAAUUUUGAAUUAUGCACACAAAUGCAUUGAAAACUCAAUUAAUGCAUAAAAAUGUCCAAACUAACCACAAAAAUAACAAAAAUUCACACAACACUCCAGUUGUUCUAUGUUGACACGAGAAAAAAAAUUGAAAGCAAUAAGAGGCAAUGGAUAUCGUUUCGUCCCUAAAGGUGGGACGUUCCCUACCGAAAACCAUCAUGCUUGUUGUGAGAAGCUCUGGCUCGUGAGAAGCAUAUACCAAAACCUGCCCCAAAUGGGACACAAUUUGUACCAUGGCAUGUUGAUGUUGCUCCAUGAUAGCAUGCCAACUUUAAUGAAUUUCAGACGAGUUUUGGAUUUACUAGAAUUUGAAAAGCAGGCAUCUCAAUGUUUUGCCGACAAUCAACGGUGCCCUGCUGUUUGAAAUUCAUUCACAUUUCUUGCAUGGGACCUAAGCAUGCACCCGAGGACACGGAUUUGAUUUUUCAACCAGUUUAUAUGCACUGGAGCAUGUGCAUGUAUUUCAAAUUUGGAUUAUGCACAUAAAUGCAUUGAAAACUCAAUUAAUGCAUAAAAAUGUCCGAACUAAUUCCGAAAAAUCACAAAAAUUCACACAACACUCCUGUUGUUCUAUGUUGACAGGAGAAAAAAAUUGAAAGCACUAAGAGGCAAUGGAUAUUGUUUCGUGCCUAAAGGUGGGACGUUCCCUACCGAAAACCAUCAUGCUUGUUGUGAGAAGCUCCGGUUUGUGAGAAGCAUAUACCCAAACCUGCCCCAAAUGGGACAAAAUUUGUACCACGGCAUGUAGAUACCGCUCCACGAUAGCAUGUCAAGUUUCAUGAAUUUCAGACGAGUUUUGGAUUUACUAGAAUUUGAAAACCUGGCACCUCAAUGUUUUGCCGGCAAUCAAUGGUGCCCUGGUGUUCGAAAUUCAUUCCCAUUUCUUGCAUGAGACCUAAGCAUGCACCCGAAUACACAGAUUUGGUUUUUCAACCAAUUUAUAUGAACUGGAGCAUGUGCAUGUAGUUCAAAUUUGAAUCAUGCAUUUGAAUGCAUUUAAAACUCAGUUAAUGCAUAAAAAUGUCCAAACAAACCCCGAAAAAUCACAAAAAUUCACACAACACUCCUGUUGUUCUAUGUUGACACGAGAAAAUAAAUUGAAAGCACUAAGAGGCAAUGGAUAUCAUUUCGUCUCUAAAGGUGGGACGUUCCCUACCGAAAACCAUCAUGCUUGUUGUGAGAUACUCCGGUUUGUGAGAAGCUUAUACCCAAACCUGCCCCAAAUGGGACAAAAAUUUUACAACGGCAUGUAGAUAUCGCUCCAUGAUAGCAUGUCAAGUUUCUUGAAUUUCAGACGAGUUUUGGAUUUACUAGAAUUUAAAAACCAGGCAUCUCAAUGUUUUUCCGACAAUCAAUGGUGCCCUGCUGUUUGAAAUUCAUUCCCAUUUCUUGCAUGGGACAUAAGCAUGCACCCGAGGAAACAUAUUUGAUUUUUCAACCAGUUUAUAUGCACUGGAGCAUGUGCAUGUAGUUCAAAUUUGAAUUAUGUACAUAAAUGCAUUGAAAACUCAGUUAAUGCAUCAAAAUAUCCAAACUAACCCCGAAAAAUCACAAAACUUCACAACAAAACUCCUGUUGUUAUAUGAUGACACGAGAAAAAAAAUUGAAAGCACUAAGAGGCAAUGGAUAUCGUUUCGUCCCUAAAGCUGGGACGUUCCCUACCGAAAACCAUCAUGCUUGUUGUGAGAAGCUCCGGUUUUUGAGAAGCAUAUACCCAAACCUGCCCCAAAUGGGACAAUAUUUGUACCACGGCAUGUUGAUGCCGCUCCAUGAUAGCAUGUCAAGUUUCAUGAAUUUCAGACUAGUUUUGGAUUUACUAGAAUUUAAAAACCAGGCAUGUCAAUGCUUUGCCAGCAAUCAACGAUGCCCUGGUGUUCGAAAUUCAUUCCCAUUUCUUGCAUGGGACUAAAGCAUGCACCCGAUGACACAGAUUUGAUUUUUCAACCAGUUUAUAUGCACUGGAGCAUGUGCAUAUAUUUCAAAUUUGAAUUAUGCACGUAAAUGCAUUGAAAACUCAGUUAAUGCAUAAAAAUGUCCAAACGAACCCCAAAAAUCACAACAUUUCACACAACACUCCUGUUGUUCUAUGUUGACACGAGAAAAAAAUUGAAAGCAAUAAGACGCAAUGGAUAUCGUUUCGUCCCUAAAGGUGGGACGUUCCCUACCCAAAACCAUCAUGCUUGUUGUGAGAAGCUCUGGUUCGUGAGAAGCAUAUACCCAAACCUGCCCCAAAUGGGACAGAAUUUGUACCACGGCAUGUUGAUGUCGCUCCAUGAUAGCAUGCCAAGUUUAAUGAAUUUCAGACGAGUUUUGGAUUUACUAGAAUUUGAAAACCAGGCAUCUCAAUGUUUUGCCGACAAUCAACGGUGCCCUGCUGUUCGAAAUUCAUUCCCAUUUCUUGCAUGGGACUUAAGCAUGCACUCGAGGACACGGAUUUGAUUUUUCAACCAGUUUAUAUGCACUGGAGCAUGUGCACGUAGUUCAAAUUUGAAUUAUGCACAUAAAUGCAUUGAAAACUCAAUUAAUGCAUAAAAAUGUCCAAACAAAUACCGAAAAAUUCACACAACACUCCUGUUGUUCUAUGUUGACAGGAGAAAAAAAUUGAAAGCACUAAGAGGCAAUGGAUAUUGUUUCGUCCCUAACGGUGGGAUGUUCCCUACCGAAAACCAUCAUGCUUGUUGUGAGAAGCUCCGGUUUGUGAGAAGCAUAUACCCAAACCUGCCCCAAAUGGGACAAAAUUUGUACCACGGCAUGUAGAUACCGCUCCAUGAUAGCAUGUCAAGUUUCAUGAAUUUCAGACGAGUUUUGGAUUUACUAGAAUCUGAAAACCUGACAUCUCAAUGUUUUGCCGGCAAUCAAUGGUGCCCUGGUGUUUGAAAUUCAUUCCCAUUUCUUGCAUGAGACCUAAGCAUGCACCCGAAUACACAGAUUUGGUUUUUCAACCAAUUUAUAUGCACUGGAGCAUGUGCAUGUAGUUCAAAUUUGAAUCAUGCACUUGAGUGCAUUAAAAACUCAGUUAAUGCAUAAAAAUGUCCAAACAAACCCCGAAAAAUCACAAAAAUUCACACAACACUCCUGUUGUUCUAUGUUGACACGAGAAAAUAAAUUGAAAGCACUAAGAGGCAAUGGAUAUCGUUUCGUCUCUAAAGGUAGGACAUUCCCUACCGAAAACCAUCAUGCUUGUUGUGAGAAGCUCCGGUUUGUGAGAAGCUUAUACCCAAACCUGCCCCAAAUGGGACAAAUUUUUUACAACGGCAUGUAGAUACCGCUCCAUGAUAGCAUGUCAAGUUUCUUGAAUUUCAGAUGAGUUUUGGAUUUACUAGAAUUUAAAAACCAGGCAUCUCAAUGUUUUUCCGACAAUCAAUGGUGCCCUGCUGUUUGAAAUUCAUUCCCAUUUCUUGCAUGGGACAUAAGCAUGCACCCGAGGAAACAUAUUUGAUUUUUCAACCAGUUUAUAUGCACUGGAGCAUGUGCAUGUAGUUCAGAUUUGAAUUAUGUACAUAAAUGCAUUGAAAACUCAGUUAAUGCAUCAAAAUAUCCAAACUAACCCCGAAAAAUCACAAAAAUUCACACAACACUCCUGUUGUUCUAUGCUGACACGAGAAAAAAAAUUGAAAGCACUAAGAGGCAAUGGAUAUCAUUUCGUCCCUAAAGGUGGGACGUUCCCUACCGAAAACCAUCAUGCUUGUUGUGAGAAGCUCCGGUUUUUGAGAAGCAUAUACCCAAACCUGCCCCAAAUGGGACAAAAUUUGUACCACGGCAUGUUGAUGCCGCUCCAUGAUAGCAUGUCAAGUUUCAUAAUUUCAGACUAGUUUUGGAUUUACUAGAAUUUAAAAACCAGGCAUGUCAAUGCUUUGCCGGCAAUCAACGAUGCCCUGGUGUUCGAAAUUCAUUCCCAUUUCUUGCAUGGGACUAAAGCAUGCACCCGAUGACACAGAUUUGAUUUUUCAACCAGUUUAUAUGCACUAGAGCAUGUGCAUAUAUUUCAAAUUUGAAUUAUGCACGUAAAUGCAUUGAAAACUCAGUUAAUGCAUAAAAAUGUCCAAACGAACCCCAAAAAUUCACAAAAAUUCCCACAACACUCCUGUUGUUCUAUGUUGACACGAGAAAAAAAAUUGAAAGCAAUAAGAGGCAAUGGAUAUCGUUUCGUCCCUAAAGGUGGGACGUUCCCUACCGAAAACCAUCAUGCUUGUUGUGAGAAGCUCUGGUUCGUGAGAAGCAUAUACCCAAACCUGCCCCAAAUGGGACACAAUUUGUACCACGGCAUGUUGAUGUCGCUCCAUGAUAGCAUGCCAACUUUAAUGAAUUUCAGACGAGUUUUGGAUUUACUAGAAUUUGAAAACCAGGCAUCUCAAUGUUUUGCCGACAAUCAACGGUGCCCUGCUGUUCGAAAUUCAUUCCCAUUUCUUGCAUGGGACCUAAGCAUGCACUUGAGGACACGGAUUUGAUUUUUCAACCGGUUUAUAUGCACUGGAGCAUGUGCAUGUAGUUCAAAUUUGAAUUAUGCACAUAAAUGCAUUGAAAACUCAAUUAAUGCAUAAAAAUGUCCAACCUAAUACCGAAAAAUUCACACAACACUCCUGUUGUUCUAUGUUGACAGGAGAAAAAAAUUGAAAGCACUAAGAGGCAAUGGAUGUUGUUUCGUCCCUAAAGGUGGGACGUUCCCUACCGAAAACCAUCAUGCUUGUUGUGAGAAGCUCCGGUUUGUGAGAAGCAUAUACCCAAACCCGCCCCAAAUGGGACAAAAUUUGUACCACGACAUGUAGAUACCGCUCCAUGAUAGCAUGUCAAGUUUCAUGAAUUUCAGACGAGUUUUGGAUUUACUAGAAUCUGAAAACCUGGCAUCUCAAUGUUUUGCCGGCAAUCAAUGGUGCCCUGGUGUUCGAAAUUCAUUCCCAUUUCUUGCAUGAGACCUAAGCAUGCACCCGUAUACACAGAUUUGGUUUUUCAACCAAUUUAUAUGCACUGGAGCAUGUGCAUGUAGUUCAAAUUUGAAUCAUGCACUUGAAUGCAUUAAAAACUCAGUUAAUGCAUAAAAAUGUCCAAACUAACCCUGAAAAAUCACAAAAAUUCACACAACACUCCUGUUGUUCUAUGUUGACACGAGAAAAAAAUUGAAAGCACUAAGAGGCAAUGGAUAUCAUUUCGUCCCUAAAGGUGGGACCUUCCCUACCGAAAACCAUCAUGCUUGUUGUGAGAAGCUCUGGUUUGUGAGAAGCAUAUACCCAAACCUGCCCCAAAUGGGACAAAUUUUUUACAACGGCAUGUAGAUACCGCACCAUGAUUGCAUGUCAAGUUUCUUGAAUUUCAGACGAGUUUUGGAUUUACUAGAAUUUAAAAACCAGGCAUCUCAAUGUUUUGCCGACAAUCAAUGGUGCCCUGCUGUUCGAAAUUCAUUCCCAUUUCUUGCAUGGGACCUAAGCAUGCACCCGAGGAAACAUAUUUGAUUUUUCAACCAGUUUAUAUGCACUGGAGCAUGUGCAUGUAUUUCAAAUUUGAAUUAUGUUCAUAAAUGCAUUGAAAACUCAGUUAAUGCAUCAAAAUAUCCAAACUAACCCCGAAAAAUCACAAAAAUUCACACAACACUCCAGUUGUUCUAUGUUGACACGAGAAAAAAAAUUGAAAGCACUAAGAGGCAAUGGAUAUCAUUUCGUCCCUAAAGGUGGGACGUUCCCU